rnacentral:rRNA from 1 species
UACGUAGGUGGCAAGCGUUGUCCGGAAUUAUUGGGCGUAAAGAGCUCGUAGGCGGUGUGUCGCGUCGGCCGUGAAAACCUGGGGCUUAACUCUGGGCUUGCGGUCGAUACGGGCAUCACUGGAGUUCGGCAGGGGGAGACUGGAAUUCCUGGUGUAGCGGUGAAAUGCGCAGAUAUCAGGAGGAACACCGGUGGCGAAGGCGGGUCUCUGGGCCGAUACUGACGCUGAGGAGCGAAAGCGUGGGGAGCGAACAGG